GCAUUUGACCUCAAAUCAGGUAGGAUUACCCGCUGAACUUAAGCAUAUCAUG
rnacentral:rRNA from 1 species